GAAAACACCAACUUCUGUCUCUAGACUGCAGUAACCAGUUCCAGAAUGGGAUGCAUAUGCCGUUAAUGAUGGGUGGUAUACAAGAAUGUCAGCCAUUAUCAUGGCUUUCGAGUAAUGAGAAUAAACAAAUGUUGUUGUCUGAAGAGCCAAACUUUUUGUCUCACAGGUCUACACUCCGAGGAUUGCGCCUUAUGCGAGGAAUUUGAUGUGGUUCGUGAGCAAUGGGCUAAGUUUUUUACCAGCAAGUAUUUAUUAUUGGCUUUAGCUCGC